ensembl:lncRNA
GGGUGAACCAGUCUGUUGCUGAAGGAGCUUCUUAAGGAGUUCACAGUCUGAUGCAGAGGCUGGGAGGAGUUUCUGAUGAUGGAAGACAGUUUAUCCAGAGCCCUCCUCUCUCCCACCACCUCCAUGGAGUCCAGGGAUCAGCCACAGACUGAGCUGCUCUUUUUAUCAGUCUGUUUAGUCUGUUCUUAUCACGCUCAGAGCAUCCUCCUCCCCAGCACACCACUGCAUAGAAGACCAUGGAUGCCACCACAGUGUCAUAAAAGGUCCUCAGCAGUGUCCUGCUCACACCAAAUGAUGGGAGUCUCCUCAGCAGGUAUAGAUGACACUGACCCUUCUUAUACAGAGAGUCAGUGUUAUCUGUCCAGUCCAGUUUGUUAUUUAGGUGAACACCCAGGUACUUGUAGGUCCUCACUCUCUCCAUGUCAAGUCCCUGGAUGUUCAGUGGUGGAGUGUAUGAGGGUUUCCUGUGGAAAUCAAUCACCAUCUCCUUUGUCUUGCUGGCGUUCAUUUGGAGGUGGUUCUGCUGACAACAGUAGACAAAGUCCAUGAUGACCUUCCUGUACUCACAGUCAUUCCCCUCUGACACGCAUCCUAUGAUGGCAGCAUCAUCGGAGAACUUCUGGAGAUGACACAACUGUCUGUGGAGUAGCAGAAGUCUGAUGUAUAGAGGGUGAAGAGGAAAGGUGAGAGUACUGUAUCCUGGGGGGCUCCUAGACCACCACAUCAGACACAGUCCUGUAGCCUCACAUACUGAGGUCUGUCUGUGAGGUAGUCCAUGGUCCAUGCAGCCAACUGGUCACUGACCCCCACUCUCUCCAUCUUCACCUUCAGCAGUGAGGGUUGGAUUGUAUUGAAGGCACUGGAGAAGUCGAAGAACGUGAUCCUCACGGUGUUUCUAGUGUCCUCCAGGUGAGACAGAGAUCUCUGCAGCAGGUAGAGGACGGCGUCAUCCGUCCCAAUCCCAGGCUGGUACACAAACUGCAGGGGAUCCAUGUUUGGACUCACCAGGGGGCGAAGAUGGUUCAAGACGAUCCUCUCAGGUGCCUUCAUCAGGUGAGAAGUUAAGGCCACGGGUCUGUAGUGGUUGGGCUCCUUGGGGCACGAGGUCUUUGGGACUGGGAC